rnacentral:rRNA from 1 species
GAUGAACGCUGGCGGCGUGCUUAACACAUGCAAGUCGAACGAAGCACUUUGAAAGCUUGCUUUUGGAGUGACUGAGUGGCGGACGGGUGAGUAACGCGUGGGUAACCUGCCUUGUACAGGGGGAUAACAGUUGGAAACGACUGCUAAUACCGCAUAAGCGCACAGUGCCGCAUGGCACAGUGUGAAAAACUCCGGUGGUAUAAGAUGGACCCGCGUCUGAUUAGCUAGUUGGUGAGGUAACGGCUCACCAAGGCGACGAUCAGUAGCCGGCUUGAGAGAGGGAUCGGCCACAUUGGGACUGAGACACGGCCCAAACUCCUACGGGAGGCAGCAGUGGGGAAUAUUGCACAAUGGGGGAAACCUUGAUGCAGCAACGCCGCGUGAGUGAAGAAGUAUUUCGGUAUGUAAAGCUCUAUCAGCAGGGAAGAUAAUGACGGUACCUGACUAAGAAGCCCCGGCUAACUACGUGCCAGCCGCCGCCGUAACAC